AUUGAACGCUGGCGGCAGGCCUAACACAUGCAAGUCGAACGAGUGGCGGACGGGUGAGUAAUGUCUGGGAAACUGCCUGAUGGAGGGGGAUAACUAAUGGAAACGGUAGCUAAUACCGCAUACCAUCGGAUGUGCCCAGAUGGGAUUAGCUAGACGGUGGGGUAACGGCUCACCAAGGCGACGAUCCCUAGCUGGUCUGAGAGGAUGACCAGCCACACUGGAACUGAGACACGGUCCAGACUCCUACGGGAGGCAGCAGUGGGGAAUAUUGCACAAUGGGCGAAAGCCUGAUGCAGCAAUGCCGCGUGUGUGAAGAAGGCCUUCGGGUUGUAAAGUACUGUCAGCAGGGAGGCGUUACCCGCAGAAGAAGCACCGGCUAACUACGUGCCAGCAGCCGCGGUAAUUC
rnacentral:rRNA from 1 species